rnacentral:tRNA from 1 species
GUUUUAAUAAUUUAAGUAAAAAAUAAUGACCUUGUAAGUCAUUUAUAAGAAAAUUUCUUUUAAAACU